GAUGAAGAACGUAGCGAAAUGCGAUAGGUAAUGUGAAUUGCAGAAUUCAGUGAAUCAUCGAAUCUUUGAACGCACAUUGCGCCCUUUGGUAUUCCUUAGGGCAUGCCUGUUCGAGCGUCACUACACACCUUAUCACAAUAUUUGUGGUCUUGGCAGGAGUGAAUUGCUGGUCUAUGGAAGUAUUCCAGCAGUACACAAUGCUAAAAAAUAUGGGAAGGUUACCAGAUAUGAACAACAGACUUUGUAAAUGGUUGUAGGACCUAGAUCAGUCACAAGUCAUGUCUGGUCCCUUACCUUAAGGACCCCCAUCCUAGAUGAACUAUGGGUGGACCUCGGAUCAGGUAGGAAUACCCGCUGAACUUAAGCAUAUCAAUAAGCGGAGGA
rnacentral:misc_RNA from 1 species